UACGUAGGGACCGAGCGUUGUCCGGAAUCAUUGGGCGUAAAGAGCGUGUAGGCGGCCUUUUAAGUCCUGCGUGAAAUCCUGCGGCUCAACCGCAGACGGUCGUGGGAAACUGGAAGGCUAGAGUGCGGGAGAGGAGAGUGGAAUUCCCGGUGUAGCGGUGAAAUGCGCAGAUAUCGGGAGGAACACCUAUGGCGAAGGCAGCUCGCUGGGACGUUACUGACGCUGAGACGCGAAAGCGUGGGGAGCAAACAGG
rnacentral:rRNA from 1 species